CAGCAGACGUAACUAAAGAAGUCAUUGAGAAUAUUAGCAGCAGAAUUCCGAGAUUCAGCCGAGCAUUCAAUGGACGCAAAAGUGUGAUUUCAAGAAGCGGAUACAGUUUUCACGAAGAAGAAGAAGAAAGAAUAUCUAUGCGUGUUACAAUGAUGUGUUCCCAGACCCAGGCAGGACUAAUUGCCAUAGAACGAGCAGUCGCUUCUGCGACGGUGUGAUUCGAAGUCUAGGAGAAUGCGAAGCAGACCGGAAGUCCGCGAAAAAGCAAACCGUUAUUUCAAAGGAACGUUCUACCCUCUUUCCUCGGCUUGUUUACCUACCAACGCAUUAAAGGGAACACGAACCCAGCGAAAACCUAGCAAAUUUCACGAAUUCGUUGCAAGCAUCUGAAAAUGCAUACUCCUGGUCCCAUGCGCGGAAUUUGAGUUUUGCAACGAAACAAACGUUCUUUAGCUCGAGUUUCCGGCCGUAGGUAAGAGCGUAACUGUAUAGGGAAAGUUUUUAACAACACCACACGGAAACUCGAGUCAGAAGGGUGCUCGUGUUUUCAACUGCUCGUUCUGAACGAGCGCCGGCGUGUGCCACAGGGCCGUCCCAAGGAAACGAGCAACUAGUCGAAACGAUCAACUAGUAUAACAAGUAUUUUCUCUUAAGAAACGAUCACGAGCACCGUUCCAAUCGGGUUAAUCGUUACGACAUUAAAUCUUUGUUACAAACUCCAAGAGAUUUCGUCGAAAUACCAUUAAAAUGGAUGUCACGCGAUCGCUAGAUAAACGUUAGAUGCCGUAAGUCUCGUACUAAGCCGUAGAUUCUUUCACUUUUUUGGCUCUUUUAUUGUACAGAAUUGGUACUCUAUCGCGAACGGAUACGACUUAUACCCGAUGGAUCAUAAAGCCACGAUAUUAUACUUUGUCAAGUACCAACGAGGAUACAAAUUGAACGGAAUUGGUGUACAAGAAAGGAAACAGUUCGUAGAGACACCCUACGGGUAGGUGAAAUUAAAAGAGCGGAAAGAAGAGACGCUGGAAAAAGUUCAGCGUGGUUUGUCACGAAACAGGCUAGUUAAGAGCUUCUGUACCGUUAGUCGGAAACUCCGAUUGUUUGUUUUCAAUUUUAUUACACCUCGUUCGUUAUCUUUCCCCAUUGUUCUGCCAGUUUCUCGGCGGUUGGUGCUCGUAGAGGCCGGAGAACGAGCAUCCUCGUACGAGCGAACAUGCGUGGCUGCGAGCCUGUUCCACGAACGAUUUACUUGCAAACGAGUCGAGAUGCAGUGAAAUUGAUUUGACGGUGAACCUGCGCCGAGCCACUUCCAAAUGUACCGUGACGCUUUAACAAGGUAACUACAUGGUUCUGGAGUUAGCUCGUGAAGAUGGCUAUACCUGCUUGAUAGGUCGAUGCUUUCUUCCCUAGGAUUCAGGCGAUUGGAUUUUAUGGAUUUCCUGUUAUUUCUCGUUUUGAGUUUCAUCGAUGUUCAGGAUCAUAGUCGUCGUUAACUAGGUCGACGCGUAGGCUUCAGGUAUAUGAAACUGAAGUUUAGGGAAAGUAAAUUCCACCUCGUGCCAAUUUGAGAAAUUCCAGCGUUUCAUUCCAGCUGUCCUAGUUAUGAAUUUAUAUGUUUGAAGCUACGUAUUUCUUUAGACCUCUAUUUCGUUAGAAAACGUUACUCGUUCAAUAAAUUUUGAAAGAAUUAAUUAAUUUGUAUCGAGACGGGAAAAAGAGAAGCAUUGUAGUUAUAUGAAAGAUUUUGUAAUAGUUCCAUAUUAUGGUUUAUUUAAUUAAAAGAAAAUUGUUAAAUUAUAUUUAUUGUUAACAAGUCGGAGUUAAUCGGAGGAGACGACUCAAUCUGUUACUCAUUUGAUCUUUUUAUCGCAUUUAUAUAUGCAAGGAUAAUACCUAAUCGAGAUUCAUGUUUUCACUAAUUUCUAACUUCGUAAUUGUAAAAGUCUUCGAUUAAGACACAAUCGUGAAACUCGAUGGAUGCACUGCAUUAUUUUUAAAUUUAAAAAGGCGAAGAUAGAAAUUCUUUUAAAUGGGGCUGCGAAGUGGCACUUAAUUAUCGCACGGUGUCUCCGGAGAAUCACCUUUUUUCCUUCCGUGAUUAUUCUACGCCAAUUCAAUUGUGCACGGUCUACGCGAAUUCUACGACAGGGAAAAUUUCGUGGCUACGUGCUUGGAUCGUCGGUUUUUCCUUCGUUCUCAUAAUACUCGUACGGCCACCGUGCGUGCAUGAAGUGCGUGCACUCUCACCUGUCGGUGUCGAAUAACGAUUUGAAACGGGAGAUCGGGUACGCUCGUUUCUCGAGACGCGGUUUACCGCUUAAGGGACCAUUGUAAAAUAAAAUAUUAAUUUUUCUUGGUGGCAAUAUCGAUCCGGCUCGUGACUGUUUCCUUAUUUCCCACGAUUUCAGUCGAUGGCGUCGAUAGAUGAGUAGAUCGCGUGCGAAAGAAUUUUAGAUCAUUCACAGUUUCCACAGAGGAACAUAUUUCUCUCUCUCUCUUUGCUAUUAUUAUCACAUUGAUUAUUUCCUUUUAUUUCAGCGAUUGAUUGAUUUACCUAUGAUCAAGUACUAAUGCUACGUUAGAAUCUAAGAAACAUCAGGUGUCGUCUAGCAUCUUCUUCUAGAUGAUAUUUCACGCCAUCGUCAUCGUUCUAUAUCUCAAAUUCAACGCUAUCCCACUCGCCUUAAUAAGCCCCAUUAUUUAAUUAAACUAGCGUUUAAUCGUUAUCGUCGUCGAAGCUGCCGUAAGAUUUUAAGCUUCGAUUGGUCGAGGCACACGUCAUGCGACGAAUCGACCGAGUCGAUAAGAUAAAACGUUUGGCAAACACUCGAACUUAGUCGCAUCGUGGCAGCCUUGAUACAUUUCGAAAGGUGCACGAACCGCAAACUUCUUGUUACUCAAUAUCGCUUUAAUUGCUGAAGCUUAAGCAAGAACCUAAUGGAAGAGCAUCGAAUAAGAACCUCGAACAAGAACUUUGGAAAUCAGAGGCAAAUGCAAUCGAACAAGAGUCACGCUUCGAUCCAAUUAGCUCUUUCCAUGAUGAAGCGAUAUUCUGACCGUAAUAGGCCCGGAGAAAUUACACAACGCUUUUACGCCGAUCGCCACGGGUUUCCUUUGCUCUCGUCCGCGUUAAUGCUUAUGGACGUAUCCGGCUUUGCUGUUACCUGAUCGCCAUUGGUACGUGAAAACCGCAAGGAUCUCAAAGUCGAACUUUUUCAUUGACUAAAGUUCGUUGUUAGAAGCGAAAAUUAUUCCUUAUAGUAUUCAAUGAAUAGAGUCUAAAAAUAGCAACUUUGAAAACUUUCCAAAUGCAACUAUAACGUAAGCUCGCUUGAUUAAAAGCUGAACAGUCAGUGAUCUAACAUCUUGCGAAUGUAGAGUUGUGUGCAGAGUUCAGUGUAACUCUUGAACGAAGAGUAGCUUUUAAAUUUGAAGUUUUCAAAAUUCAAAAUUGACAUUUAUUGGCUAUACUAGAAAACAUUUCUAGCAGCGUAAAACGAACUUUAGCCUUUUACUAGACGCAAGACUCAUAUACAUUUGUAAGAAACAUAUAUCUAAUUGGUUAGGUUAUUCGAUUGACAAACUCUGUAAAAGGUUUCGUAGAAUAUAACUGGUUACACCAGUACGUAAACUACAUAUAUAAAAUUGUAUAUAAAUUGACAAAUCAUACGUCGAAUCUAUAAAUAAUUUUAAUAUACAUAUACAUUUAAUAUACAUAUCUACAUUCUGCACAUUCCGUUUCGACAUAACAGGUCAAAACAGGUGAUCAUAGAGGUGAAAGGAAUACAAUAAAUUCUUAAAACAACAUAUAUGUACACACCAUGGUCUACUUUUUUUAUAUUGUAUAUUUAUAAUUUUUAAAACGAAUAAAUAGUAUACUUAGUAUCAUUAUAUACGUGGUAUAUUUAAAACCUUCAAAAUGGUAUAUUUACCUACCUAUACCAUAAUCUAGUUCUUAUUGUUACAUUAAUCCACCGUCUGGAGCAGAUCGCGCAAUAUGCGGAUGGACUUUGGUUGUUGCAAUAGUAUACGAUCAUUGCCUGGCUCGUCACGGGCCAUUGCCUCCCUAUUACGAGCCUCCCUACUUCUCCUCCUUUUCCUUCUCUGAGAAGGUUCACCUCGCAUAAUCGUUUUCUUCUGAGGGAAAGUGAACGAGGAACGGUGCGGCGCAACGCCAAAAGCCGAGCCGAGGCGAGCGCAAUGCGUCACCGCGAAGUGCAAUGCCAAUUAAAACGGCCAUUAUCGCGAUCUUUUCGUUUCUUUUUUAUUCCCGAACAUUCGCUACACCCGCCAAUCAUGAAACACGUGCACCAUUUCUUUUGAUAAACUGUGACUUAUACCUGUGGCAUGCGCCAGGAAACCCGUUAGAUAAUACUUAUUCGAUUAGCUGCGCACAAGUCAAGACUUGUUUAUCGCCAAUCGUUUAUUUAUAAAAGCAAUUUAUGGAAAAGUGUAAUAAAUGUAUCGAGUGAAAAAGUGGUGUAAGUGACAAGAUA